rnacentral:rRNA from 1 species
UACGGAGGGUGCAAGCGUUAUCCGGAUUCACUGGGUUUAAAGGGUGCGUAGGCGGAAUUGUAAGUCCGUGGUGAAAUCUCCAAGCUUAACUUGGAAACUGCCGUGGAUACUAUAGUUCUUGAAUGUUGUGGAGGUUUGCGGAAUAUGUCAUGUAGCGGUGAAAUGCUUAGAUAUGACAUAGAACACCGAUUGCGAAGGCAGCAGGCUACACAAAUAUUGACGCUGAGGCACGAAAGCGUGGGGAUCAAACAGGAUUAGAUACCCCAGUAGUCC